UUGGAGGGCAAGUCUGGUGCCAGCAGCCGCGGUAAUUCCAGCUCCAAUAGCGUAUAUUAAAGUUGUUGCAGUUAAAAAGCUCGUAGUUGAAUUUCGGGGUUAGUAGGCUGGUCAUGCCACCGGUAUGUACUGGUCUUUCUGAUUCCUCCUUCCUGAUGAACUGUAAUGCCAUUAAUUUGGUGUUGCAGGGAAUCUGGACUGUUACUUUGAAAAAAUUAGAGUGUUUAAAGCAGGCUAACGCUUGAAUACAUUAGCAUGGAAUAAUGAAAUAGGACGCUCGAUCCUAUUUUGUUGGUUUCUAGGAUUGACGUAAUGAUUAAUAGGGAUAGUUGGGGGCAUUAGUAUUCAAUUGUCAGAGGUGAAAUUCUUGGAUUUAUUGAAGACUAACUACUGCGAAAGCAUUUGCCAAGGAUGUUUUCAUUAAUCAAGAACGAAAGUUAGGGGAUCGAAGACGAUCAGAUACCGUCGUAGUCUUAACCAUAAACUAUGCCGACUAGGGAUCGGAUGAUGUUAAUUUUAUAAUGACUCAUUCGGCGCCUUACGGGAAAC
rnacentral:rRNA from 1 species